rnacentral:rRNA from 1 species
AACGAACGCUGGCGGCAUGCUUAACACAUGCAAGUCGAACGAGACCUUCGGGCCUGGUGGCGCACGGGUGCGUAACGCCUGGUAACCUGCCCUUAGGUUCGGAAUAACUCCCCGAAAGGGGUGCUCAUACCGGUUAAUGUAUUCGGACCAAAGAUUUAUCGCCGCUGGAUGGGCCCGCGUUGGUUUAGGUAGUUGGUAGGGUAAACGCCUACCAACGCGACGAUCCAUGGCUGGUCUGUGAGGAUGACCAGCCAGAGUGGGACUGACACACGGCCCAGACACCGGCGGGAGGAAGCAGUAGUGAAUAUUGGAGAAUGGGAGAAAGCCGGAUCCAGCAAUGCCGCGGGAGUGAGGAAGGCGGUAGGGUUGUAAAGCUCUUUUACCAGGGAUGAUAAGGACAGUUCCGGGAGAAUAAGCUCCGGCUAACUCCGUG